UGGGGAAUAUUGGACAAUGGGCGCAAGCCUGAUCCAGCCAUGCCGCGUGUGUGAAGAAGGCCUUUUGGUUGUAAAGCACUUUAAGCGAGGAGGAGGCUACUUGGAUUAAUACUCUAGGAUAGUGGACGUUACUCGCAGAAUAAGCACCGGCUAACUCUGUGCCAGCAGCCGCGGUCAUACAGAGGGUGCGAGCGUUAAUCGGAUUUACUGGGCGUAAAGCGUGCGUAGGCGGCUUCUUAAGUCGGAUGUGAAAUCCCUGAGCUUAACUUAGGAAUUGCAUUCGAUACUGGGAAGCUAGAGUAUGGGAGAGGAUGGUAGAAUUCCAGGUGUAGCGGUGAAAUGCGUAGAGAUCUGGAGGAAUACCGAUGGCGAAGGCAGCCAUCUGGCCUAAUACUGACGCUGAGGUACGAAAGCAUGGGGAGCAAACAGG
rnacentral:rRNA from 1 species